rnacentral:rRNA from 1 species
CUCAAUGAAACAUUUAAAUAGCCGCAAUUUAAUUGUGCUAAGGUAGCAUAAUCAUUUGCCUUUUAAUUAAAGACUAGAAUGAAAGAUUUAACAUUUUAAUUUCUAUAUCUAUAAUAUUUUUUUAAUUUAUCCUAAAUAUAAAAAGAUAUUUAUUAAUCAAAAAGACGACAAGACCCUAUUGAACUUAACUUCAGUUUAACUGGGGCAGUUAAUUAAAUAACAUUUUAAUUCUUUCACUUCUCAAAAAGAUCUAUUCAAAAUAUUCAAGUGACCAAGUUACCAUAGGGAUAACAGAGUAAUAUCGUUUAUAAGAUCAUAUUUAAAACUAAGAUUACGACCUCGAUGUUGAAUUAAUAACCUAAUUAAUGAAAAAAUUUAUAAAGGAAGUCUGUUCGACUU